rnacentral:rRNA from 1 species
GACGAACGCUGGCGGCGUGCCUAAUACAUGCAAGUCGAACGCUUCUUUCCUCCCGAGUGCUUACACCCAAUUGGAAAGAGGAGUGGCGGACGGGUGAGUAACACGUGGGUAACCUACCCAUCAGAGGGGGAUAACACUUGGAAACAGGUGCUAAUACCGCAUAACAGUUUAUGCCGCAUGGCAUAAGAGUGAAAGGCGCUUUCGGGUGUCGCUGAUGGAUGGACCCGCGGUGCAUUAGCUAGUUGGUGAGGUAACGGCUCACCAAGGCCACGAUGCAUAGCCGACCUGAGAGGGUGAUCGGCCACACUGGGACUGAGACACGGCCCAGACUCCUACGGGAGGCAGCAGUAGGGAAUCUUCGGCAAUGGACGAAAGUCUGACCGAGCAACGCCGCGUGAGUGAAGAAGGUUUUCGGAUCGUAAAACUCUGUUGUUAGAGAAGAACAAGGACGUUAGUAACUGAACGUCCCCUGACGGUAUCUAACCAGAAAGCCACGGCUAACUACGUG